rnacentral:lncRNA from 1 species
ACUCUCCUAGAAAAAUCAAACCGCCUCCCCGGCUCCUCCCCUCCAAAAAAAAUAAGUUAGGUCACGUACUCCUGGAGUCCUGGUUGGUCAUAAAGGUUAGGUGUUGAUAAUUUGCAUACUUUUCGUGAUCUAAUAAUCUGAUGGAGGGAAUAUGUAUUGUGUAUUUAUGUAGUGAAGUCGCAACAGCUAACAAAUCGUCUUCACGCCGCGUCGCCGCUAAUCAAUUAAGGUAACUAGGUAAGGAAAUAAACAAACCUUCAAAUCAAAUGUUCUACGCUUAGCUGUCCAUAUCUAAUGGUCAUUCUUUCCCUUGGAAAAGAACCGGGAAAACCCCCGUCCAUGAUUUGACGACGGAGAAGACUUUGGAGGUCGUGACUUUUGAGAUUUAGGGGUGGUUGGUGAUUUUGGAAUUGGGACUGAUUCAGUGUCGGAUGGAAUGUAAUGAUCAUAUGCCUCAAAAUGAGAUUGGUCUCCAACUCUUUGGAUGCCAGAAAUAUUACUAGUUUCUGCCCAUUCUUUCGACAGGUGAAGAUUUGAGUCACUUGUGCUGAGGACAUCUUCAGAGAAAUCUUUAUUUACAUGAAAUGGUCUAUUUGGAGUAGCGGGGACAGUGUUGGGUCGGGAAUGCAAGGAUUUAAAUUGUUUGCCAAGUAGAAAUAUUGUUUCCUGGCACUCGGCAAGUUUCUCUGCAGCAGCUGUUAUCUCCAUCUCCUGUUAGAGAAAUUAUGUUUAGAUAUUGUUUUGGCAUUGAGAAAUAUAAUCUUUUUUUAAUUAUACUUAACUAAUAAGUACUAAUUUCAAUAAGAAGACAGGAUCAAUGUAUAAAAGAGAAAACAAAUUGGUCGAGUGAUAAGUGAUAAUAACUAAUUGAAAUUAAAAUACCAACAAACCUGUUUUAUCUUCGCAUCUGCAUUUGCAUCAGGUUCCGAACAUAUUAGGCCUUUUACAUUCCUGUAUUAAAAACAGAUAAUCUUUAAUCCUGUUAAUAUGGUGUGUGAUUGUGUAUGUCUACAUAUACAUAUAUAGUUAUAUACUUAUAAAUAGAGAAAGACCAUCCAAUUUUUUUGCAGGUCAUUUUGAUGCUAACCUUUCCAUUUGCUUUUGCAGAUCUUUGUAUUUUUCUAAAUCUUCCUGAUGUGCAGACACUUCAUUUUUAAGUUCAAUUUCAAGCGUAUCAAUUUUUGACUGGAGAAAGCUAAUUUCUGUUUCUAGGUCAUUUGAGCGUGAUUCUAGUAAUCGGUAAGAUUCUGCCAUACAUUUCAAUUGAGUCUCGGCCAAGCUAUUAGACUUCUGAGAACCAGUAAAUUGUGAUUCAAGGUCCUGAAGAUUUUGCUCUGUUUCAACCAACCGUAACUUUGUCUUUUCUAAACUUUCAGUACAUUUAGCAAGUUCAUCUGCCAAAUUGUCCUUCUCAAUUUUCAACAGAUCAAACUCCUCCUGCGAAUAAUUUAUUAAUGAUCCCUUCAUUUCAGCAGUUUUGGCAUCAAAAGAACCUAAAAGUCUUCCUUUCCCAAUUUCAUGCCGAUCAACUUUGUCGAUGUAAUCAGGGAUGCUUGACUCUGAUGUACAUUCCUUAUUUCCGAAAAUUCUAGAAUCAAGUUUGCUUCUUUCAGAAAAAAUGGCUGACAAGGUAACUAUGAACUCAUCCACACAUAAAUCACAGGACAUAACUUUAUUCACCACAGAAGAAAGUUCACUGACCUUACCAAGCAAGUCAGGAUCAGAAGACCUUACAUAUAAUUCCACAAAAUCAUAAAUAUGUUGAAUGGCCUUCUUCAAAUCAUCGACCAUGACAGUUUUCUUCUCAAUACACUUAUUAAUCGGCAAAUCUUCAUGACAAUUCUUUUGGAUGUAUUUAUUAUCUCCAUUUGGAUGAGGUAACUCUUCUUCUAAUUCACGCACAAGACUUUUAACACUCUCUAAAAGUUUGCUCAUGUUUGUAUUGUCCUUGGUUUCUGAUUCAACUAUCAAAGAUAUUCCUGACUGGAAUUUUGAAAGUAAAACGGUAUUUUGUUUAGAAACUAUUUUUCUAGUUUGUUCUUCAUCAAAUGAUAACGGAUAUGCUGUUGGCUGAAGCUCUGAAUGUUCCUCUUUCUGUGAAUUGAUGUCUUUGGAUGCAUACACAGAUCCAGUGGAUUCCGCUGAUAAGCAUGCAAGUUUCUCCAUCUCAAGAAAAUCAUCCAUGAGCUCUAAAUUACAAGAACUCCCAGCCUUGCUGAAUUUGUCAGCAUCUUUAUCAUUCUUCAGAUUUGACAUUAAUGUUGUAGCCCAAAUCCUCCCCUCUGUAAAACUUGCUACUUCGUCAUUGCCAUCUUCAGACAUUGACGUCAUGCUUUGUGCGUUGCUUUCGUUUUGACUUAGAAAACCUUCGACAGGGAUAUCAAUUGUGGUCUUCGAUGGACUUCUCUUUUGAUUCAUAGUAAGCAUGUGGCUUUCCAAACUUCGAAACUUGUUGGCUGUUUUUGUAAACAUGUUUCUAGAAGUUUGUAAUUCAUUGUCACGCUUCGACAGAGCCUCUUUCAACAUCUUAGUGUCUAAUUCUGUUUCUUGCAAGCGUGCAUUCAAGAAUUCGUUCUCUUUCUGAAAUUGAUGAAUAUUUUCAAAACUGUAAUCUGGAACAGAGAGCAUAUAAGGACUAGAACAUUUUGCAGGAGAUCGCCUUACUCGACUUUCACCAUAAUCACGGCCUACAGAGUCCACUUCAGAUUUCAUUUGAGCCAAUGCAGCUGGGCCAGGUAAUUUUUUCCGAACCAGACCACGCAAUUUUUGGCACUCUGCUUCUAAUUUUGUUAUUUUCUUUACAUCUUCCAAGUGAUGCUUGUUUGCAACUUCCACAGAACGUUCACUCAUUCUCUUUUCUUCAUUUCGGAUUUCAAGCUCCUUUGAGACAAUAUUUACUUCGUACUUCAUUGAGUUUAAUUCCCUUUCAGUAAAAUCUAGGUCUUUCUUUAAAUCAUCUAUAUUAGCAUCAGCUUGAGCUUUCUCUUCACUGAUCUUCAUUAACAUUUCAGAGCGUUCUUCAAGAGAUCUGGAAAGAGCAUCAUUUUCAGCUGUAGCUCGAAAGAGAUCUUCUUCAAAUUCAUUUAUUUUUAUCUCAAAUUCAAGCUCUAC